rnacentral:pre_miRNA from 1 species
UGUAAACAUCCUACACUCUCAGCUGUGACAUCGUGAAGCUGGGAGAGGGGUGUUUACG